GCAACAUUCGGACCUUCGGUCUACUGAGCAAUAUCACCCGCUCGGCGGAAGAACUUCCCUUCGUCAU
rnacentral:pre_miRNA from 1 species